UGCGCGUGCACGUAGCAUAAACGCGGGCUCACGAGGAGCGGCUGAAACUGCAAAUCAUGUGGCGCAAACGACCAAUGGUAUGCCGCUCCCAAAAUGUGCUCCAUCUGAUACCAAGUGCCGAUACUUUCAACCAAUGAAGCUCAAACCCUUGCUGAAGUUUGUACACUAUGUGGAAAUUCAAAGAUAACCCUGAGUUCAAACUUGAUUUUACAAGCUUUGAUUGAUCCCAAAUUGAUGUUGAGGUCCAGGCUCUGAGGAGGACGUAACUGAUAGAUCAGAAGAUCUUCAACACCACUGGCUGAUACGCAGCUCCACCAUAACAGAAAACUAUUGCAGAAAACUACAAGAUGUCCUGACAGCACAAAAUCUUCUGUCUGUUUAUGUCACUGGUGUUGUAAAUGCCCAGAUUGUACAAUAAGACAGUUGUUGAAUGAUUAUGGUGUGGUUAAUGUUUUUUACUACACAUCACUGCAUCUUACAAUAAUUUCUGAAGAGUUAGGGUCCACAGUAUUAGCACGAAACACAAAGAAAUGAAAGCCAUCGCUUUACUACACUAUAUAUGCAGUAGUCCACGUUAAUUUUGUGUUUGCCAGUUUGCUCUUCAAACGAAAUUCAGUUGUUCUGCAUUGAAGAAAUAGAAACAAGCACUUGGAAGCACAGUCACGUAGAUAGAUAGAUAGAUAGAUAGAUAGAUAGAUAGAUAGAUAGAGCAGUAGUUCACUUUCACUGUGGUGUCACUUAUUCGUUCUGAUCCUGUGGCAGAAAAUGCAUGUCAGCAUCAGUUUGUAGGUGGCAGACAGGUGGCUUCAUCUCGUAUAUUUUAACCCUUUUUCCUACAGUGCUGUGAAUAUUUUAUUUUAUUUUAUUUUGCAUAUUUGUCACACUUCACAUGUUUCAGAUCAGGAAACAAAUUUUAAAAUUAACAUUAGGAAAUGUUAACUUUGUUUGUACAACACUAUUAAAAACACAAAGUUACAGAGUGCUUCACAGUUUGAAUAAAAACCACAUGAUGAAUGUACAUGUUCAAACAAAGAGACAUAUAAUCAGCCACACAGUCAGACAUUCAUUCCAACAUAAAUGCAGACGCACAAACGGUCGCAAUCUAUGGGCAAAAAUAAAGGGAGAAACAUUUAACGAAGGCUGACCUAUAAAAGCUUUUUGCAAUAUUCUGAAGUGAAAAUAUGAUGAUAAUAGAAUAAUAUGUUUGAGAUAUGUAAAAAGAAAUGAUUUAUGUAUGGAGCAGUAAUUCAUAAUGGUGUGUUGUUAUCAUUUUAAGCCAAAAAAAAGUUUACUUUUUAAUAAUUUUGGCCCUUUUGUGAAAUCAUUUUGUUUCUGUGUGCAAAAUAAAAUAAUGUAAGCAUCCAAAAUGAGACUGUGAUGGUUAGAAAAUCUGUGUUUAAAAAGAAAAAGUUUAACAUUGUUUGGGAGCUACUUUUUUCCCUUCUUUUUGUAAUAACAAUAACAGUAGAUAAUAUGACAGGGAGAAACACAGACUGUAUAUAAAAGAUGGACACCACCUUAACGUCACCUGUUUUUUUUAAGGUGUGCUUUUUUACAGGUCUGUCUUGAUGUUUUGAAAACAGGUGUGAUGACAGAUGGGUAGCUUAUGGAAAAUUUAUUAUGUACAAUUGUGAUUCAAAUUUUCAGAUUAUCUUGAAAUUUUGAGUUAGGUAUCUCAACAUUUCAACUUUUUUUGUUGAAAUUGUUGUUUUUCUAACUAGAGGAGCUGGCCAUUAUACUCAUGUAAAACACUGAUGUGACUUUUCACACCCAGGAGCUGUACUGACCCCAAUCUCCACAUUGUUCUCACCUUGGUCCCCAGCAAUAGAUAUGCACAUUUUUAAGCAGAUCAGAUGAAUAGUUGUUGAGAUAGUUGAUGAACAGAUGCCUUCAUUUAUUAUUUAUAGGUCUGAAUCUGACCAGUGGUACGACACUCUACACUGGAUUAGGAUCCUUUUCAUUAAAAUGUACUUUUAAAAUCCUGGCAAAGGUUUGCCUUAUUAAAACACAAAUCACAGGAAAUGCUAUAAACCAGCAGAAUGGCAGCAGUAUACUAAAAACCACCAGUGACUCCAUGUUUAACAUAAUUUGUGAAGUGACUAUGUAGGUUAGCUUGGUAGCAUAUGCAGCUUUGGGGUCAAAUGUUGAAAAACACUGGAUGAACUGCAACAUAAUGCAAAUGUCCCCUUGAGUCAUUUUAAUUGUAUUAUUAUACAAGAAAAUGACUAAAGGCUACUGUUUACUUUAUACUCUGAUAAGGCUUUUUUUUUUUUUUUUUUUUUUUUUUUUUAAAGUUCUCAGAUCUUAACCAGAAUAUAUCCAAGUCAAAGUUACAAGUUUGCUGUGCACUGUGAUGUGAUGUGCACAUAAAAAACAGAAAUAACUUAAAAGGGGCUACAUUUCAUCUCAAAUUUAAUAUUCAGCAUACAACAAUAACACACACGCACAAGGGCCUACAUCAGACCCACAAAGAAGUAAUCUGAGUGGAAGAUUCAGCCAGAUAUAGAGAAGUAUUUGUCAACAAUGAUCUAGUCCAAAAAUAUCCAGGAUUAGUGAACAUUCAAGUGAAACCAUUACACCGCGGUCCCCUCUUUCCUCUGUCGCUCUUGUUCCUGCGUGUGAAAAUAGUCUUUGUUAAGUAGAACAUCCCUCUUUAAAGGCAGGAUGGGCUCCUCUGCCGUUCUGCUGCUUCCUACUUUCUUCUGUUGCGCCAGCAGCAUUGCGCGAAGCAGGGGAGGGUAGGCGACGUAUCGGACGGGCGGCUCGGGCAGAGGCUCAAAGUCCUUAAA